rnacentral:rRNA from 10 species
AUACCCCACUAUGCCCAAGGCCUAAACACGACCCCGUCCGCCAGAAAAUUACGAGCGAAAGCCUAAAACUCAAAAGACUUGACGGUGUUCCAACCUACCUAGAGGAGCCUGUUCCAUAAUCGAUAACCCACGAUUCACCCAACCCCCUCUUGAAUUAACAGCCUAUAUACCGCCGUCGCCAGCCUACCUUCCAAAAGAAAUCAAGCAAGCCAAAUAGCCCACACUAAAAAGUCAGGUCAAGGUGUAGCCAAUGAGGCGGAGACAAUGGGCUACAUUCUCUACCAUAGAUAAAACAAACUACUAUAUGAAAAAUAUUAUGAAGGUGGAUUUAGAAGUAAGUUAAACAAGAACAUUUAACUUAAUUAAAGCUCUGGAACAUGUACACACCG